ensembl:snoRNA
AACCCCAUUAAGAAGUGGGCAAAGUAAGAUCUUUGGGGAACAUGGAUGCUUAUUGCCUCUGCCUUCCUUGGCUGUCUACAUGG